UACGAAGGGGGCUAGCGUUGCUCGGAUUGACUGGGCGUAAAGGGCGCGUAGGCGGCUUGUACAGUCAGACGUGAAAUUCCUGGGCUCAACCUGGGGGCUGCGUUUGAUACGUAUGGGCUUGAGUUCGGAAGAGGGUCGUGGAAUUCCCAGUGUAGAGGUGAAAUUCGUAGAUAUUGGGAAGAACACCGGUGGCGAAGGCGGCAUCCUGGACCGGUAUUGACGCUGAGGAGCGAAAGCCAGGGGAGCAAACAGG
rnacentral:rRNA from 1 species